GGCUGUGACCUGGGAGAGCAUCUUCUCCACUCCGGUCACGAUGUCCCCCAGGUCCUCCAGAGCUGCGCUGAGUUCAUUGAGCAGCACGGCGUGGUGCAGGGGAUAUACCGCCUGUCCGGCGUCGCGUCCAACAUCCAGAGACUGCGGCAGGAAUUUGAGUCGGAGCAGAUUCCUGAGCUCACUGUCCGUGACAUUCACAGCGUGAGCUCCCUCUGCAAGA